rnacentral:rRNA from 1 species
CGAAAGCCUGACGGAGCAAGACCGCGUGAGGGAAGAAGGCUCUUGGGUCGUAAACCUCUUUUGUCAGGGAAGAACACAAUGACGGUACCUGACGAAUCAGCCUCGGCUAACUCCGUGCCAGCAGCCGCGGUAAUACGGAGGAGGCAAGCGUUAUCCGGAAUUAUUGGGCGUAAAGCGUCCGUAGGUGGCUAGUCAAGUCUGCGGUCAAAGACUGGGGCUUAACCCUGGAAAGGCCGUGGAAACUGACGAGCUAGAGUGCAGUAGGGGUAGAGGGAAUUCCCGGUGUAGCGGUGAAAUGCGUAGAGCUCGGGAAGAACAUNGGUGGC